ACCGGGGGUGGGUGAAAGGAAGGGUGGAAAGGAGGCGAUGACCGCUUACCCGCAUGGGCAGUUGCCCCCGGUUUGCCCCUUCCUGCCUGGUCCGCGGGUGGGGGUAACGGGGCGGGGGCGGGAAGGCUUAAUUCGGUGCAAUAGCAAAAACAAAAGGCGGUCUUGCUCAGGAAACGCAGCAGCUGCUCGCGCACCGCCUCCCUGCCGGAGCAGCAGCAGCACGCCGUGUUAAGGAGGGGGGGGAGGGGGAAGAGGGAAAGCGAAGGGCAUCCACGCAGGGAAUGUCUGAACGGCCCCCUUCUCCGCCCCAAAGCGCCGCUGAAAAAGCCACUCUCCGAUUCAGAUUCAGACCCCAGAGCAAAGUAAGGGACGGAGAGGCGUCUAGGUUAGAGGCGCGCGUAGCGUGCGCCCGGUCUCCAGUAAUAACAUCCGAGUCGGUCUUUGUGCGGAAUCCACCACAGGAGUUUUCCCCCUUCAGAUCCGAAGUCAUUUCUAACCGUGGAACCCCAGUUUAAAAACAACAACAACUUUCAAGUGGGGAUUUCUAACCAAUAAUCGCUUAAGAAAGAGCCAAACAUUUCCUUGCUUAUUCGCCAGUUCUCUCCUGAAAUAUUUAUUAUAGGGGAAAGAUCCUGAAUGGAGUUGCCCUCAGGCCCCAGAAAUGGACCUCAACUCAUUUUCAUAUGUAUUUGGAUUUUUAUAUGUAUUCAAAAUCAAAUUAAUUUAGAAUAAACAGUUCAACCCUAUAGGAAUACCAGAUAAGCAAACGACACAACAUAAAUAUAAAUGUAUUGAUAAUGGAUAGUACAGAAAUAUAACAGCCAUUAUACUAGGAGUAUUAAGUGAUAAUUAAUUUUAAUUGAGUACCUUUCUUUAAACAGUUAAUCAUUAAAGUGGAUAUGUUUUCAAGAUUCCUCUGCUAUUUAAGGAAGUGAGCAAUAACUUACACCUUAUUACAUAAAACGCUCCAUACGCAGUCUUGUAAAGAAAUACAAUUUUUAAUCUCUUAUUCUUCAUUGUAAUGUAUCAAAACCAAAAGAACAACAAUAAUUACAAAACAGAGAUGAAUUUCCAAAUAUCUGCAAUUAAGAUCUAUUCUCAGUAGUUAAAAUUAUUCUCCUGCAUAUAACUCUAACCAAGUUUUAAUUAAAGAAUAUAUCUCAUACAAUAACUCAGGCCAACCAUCACAUAUUCCAUUCAAGAUCUUCAUUUUUGGAUGUGUUUAUCCCAUGCUUUGGACCAAAGUCUGGGAUAAAGAAGGGUUUCACAGAAAGCCAGCAG